AACGAACGCUGGCGGCAGGCUUAACACAUGCAAGUCGAACGCCCCGCAAGGGGAGUGGCAGACGGGUGAGUAACGCAUGGGAAUCUACCCAGUUCUACGGAACAACAGUUGGAAACGACUGCUAAUACCGUAUACGCCCUACGGGGGAAAGAUUUAUCGGAAUUGGAUGAGCCCGCGUAAGAUUAGCUAGUUGGUGGGGUAAUGGCCUACCAAGGCGACGAUCUUUAGCUGGUCUGAGAGGAUGAUCAGCCGCACUGGGACUGAGACACGGCCCAGGAUCCUACGGGAGGCAGCAGUGGGGAAUAUUGGACAAUGGGCGCAAGCCUGAUCCAGCCAUGCCGCGUGAGUGAUGAAGGCCUUAGGGUUGUAAAGCUCUUUCACCGAUGAAGAUAGUGACGGUAGUCGGAGAAGAAGCCCCGGCUAACUUCGUGCCAGCCGCCGCUGUAAAAC
rnacentral:rRNA from 1 species